AGUCUCUAAUAGUGAUUACAGCCGUGAGUCUUUCUGGGUAAGUCUCUAAUAGUGAUUACAGCUGUGAGUCUUUCUGGGUAAGUCUCUAAUAGUGAUUACAGCUGUGAGUCUUUCUGGGUAAGUCUCUAAGAGCUGCGAGUCUUUCUGGGUAAGUCUCUAAGAGCUGUGAGUCUUUCUGGGUAAGUCUCUAAGAGCUGUGAGUCUUUCUGGGUACGUCUCUAAGAGCUGUGAGUCUUUCUGGGUAAGUCUCUAAGAGCUGUGAGUCUUUUUGGGUACGUCUCUAAGAGCUUUGCAAACCUGGAUUGUACAAUAUUUGCAAUUAUUUUUUAAAUUCUUCAAGCUCUGUCAAGAUGGUUGUUGAUCAUUGCUGGACAGACAUGUUCAGAUCUUGCCGUAGAGGUUUUAGGUUAUUGUCCUGCUGAAAGGUGAAUUCAUCUCCCAGUGUCUGGUGGGAAGCAGACUGAACCAGGUUAUUGUCCUGCUGAAAGGUGAAUUCAUCUCCCAGUCUCUGGUGGAAAGCAGACUGAACCAGGUUAUUGUCCUGCUGAAAGGUGAAUUCAUCUCCCAGUGUCUGGUGGAAAGCAGACUGAACCAGGUUAUUGUCCUGCUGAAAAGGGGAAUUCAUCUCCCAGUGUCUGGUGGAAAGCAGACUGAACCAGGUUAUUGUCCUGCUGAAAGGUGAAUUCAUCUCCCAGUGUCUGGUGGAAAGCAGACUGAACCAGGUUAUUGUCCUGCUGAAAGGUGAAUUCAUCUCCCAGUGUCUGGUGGAAAGCAGACUGAACCAGGUUAUUGUCCUGCUGAAAGGUGAAUUCAUCUCCCAGUGUCUGGUGGAAAGCAGACUGAACCAGGUUAUUGUCCUGCUGAAAGGUGAAUUCAUCUCCCAGUGUCUGGUGGGAAGCAGACUGAACCAGGUUAUUGUCCUGCUGAAAGGUGAAUUCAUCUCCCAGUGUCUGAUGGAAAGCAGACUGAACCAGGUUAUUGUCCUGCUGAAAGGUGAAUUCAUCUCCCAGUGUCUGGUGGAAAGCAGACUGAACCAGGUUAUUGUCCUGCUGAAAGGUGAAUUCAUCUCCCAGUGUCUGGUGGAAAGCAGACUGAACCAGGUUAUUGUCCUGCUGAAAGGUGAAUUCAUCUCCCAGUGUCUGAUGGAAAGCAGACUGAACCAGGUUAUUGUCCUGCUGAAAGGUGAAUUCAUCUCCCAGUGUCUGAUGGAAAGCAGACUGAACCAGGUUAUUGUCCUGCUGAAAGGUGAAUUCAUCUCCCAGUGUCUGGUGGAAAGCAGACUGAACCAGGUUAUUGUCCUGCUGAAAGGUGAAUUCAUCUCCCAGUGUCUGGUGGAAAGCAGACUGAACCAGGUUAUUGUCCUGUUGAAAGGUGAAUUCAUCUCCCAGUCUCUGGUGGAAAGCAGACUGAACCAGGUUAUUGUCCUGCUGAAAGGUGAAUUCAUCUCCCAGUGUCUGGUGGAAAGCAGACUGAACCAGGUUAUUGUCCUGCUGAAAGGUGAAUUCAUCUCCCAGUGUCUGAUGGAAAGCAGACUGAACCAGGUUAUUGUCCUGCUGAAAGGUGAAUUCAUCUCCCAGUGUCUGGUGGAAAGCAGACUGAACCAGGUUAUUGUCCUGCUGAAAAGGGGAA